rnacentral:rRNA from 1 species
UACGUAGGGGGCAAGCGUUGUCCGGAUUUAUUGGGCGUAAAGAGCGUGUAGGCGGUUCGGUAGGUCCGUUGUGAAAACUCGAGGCUCAACCUCGAGACGCCGAUGGAAACCAUCGAACUAGAGUCCGGAAGAGGAGAGUGGAAUUCCUGGUGUAGCGGUGAAAUGCGCAGAUAUCAGGAAGAACACCCGUGGCGAAGGCGGCUCUCUGGGACGGUACUGACGCUGAGGCGCGAAAGCGUGGGGAGCAAACAGG